rnacentral:rRNA from 1 species
GUACGGGGGGAGCAAGCGUUGUUCGGAUUUACUGGGCGUAAAGGGCGCGUAGGCGGUCAGCACAAGUCAGUUGUGAAAUCUCCGGGCUUAACUCGGAAAGGUCAACUGAUACUGUGCGACUAGAGUGCAGAAGGGGCAACUGGAAUUCUCGGUGUAGCGGUGAAAUGCGUAGAUAUCGAGAGGAACACCUGCGGCGAAGGCGGGUUGCUGGGCUGACACUGACGCUGAUGCGCGAAAGCCAGGGGAGCGAACGGG